GAGUUUGAUCAUGGCUCAGGACGAACGCUGGCGGCGUGCCUAAUACAUGCAAGUAGAACGCUGAAGAGAGGAGCUUGCUCUUCUUGGAUGAGUUGCGAACGGGUGAGUAACGCGUAGGUAACCUGCCUUGUAGCGGGGGAUAACUAUUGGAAACGAUAGCUAAUACCGCAUAACAAUAGGUGACACAUGUCAUUUAUUUGAAAGGGGCAAUUGCUCCACUACAAGAUGGACCUGCGUUGUAUUAGCUAGUAGGCGAGGUAACGGCUCACCUAGGCGACGAUACAUAGCCGACCUGAGAGGGUGAUCGGCCACACUGGGACUGAGACACGGCCCAGACUCCUACGGGGGGCAGCAGUAGGGAAUCUUCGGCAAUGGGGGCAACCCUGACCGAGCAACGCCGCGUGAGUGAAGAAGGUUUUCGGAUCGUAAAGCUCUGUUGUAAGUCAAGAACGAGUGUGAGAGUGGAAAGUUCACACUGUGACGGUAGCUUACCAGAAAGGGACGGCUAACUACGUGCCAGCAGCCGCGGUAAUACGUAGGUCCCGAGCGUUGUCCGGAUUUAUUGGGCGUAAAGCGAGCGCAGGCGGUUUGAUAAGUCUGAAGUUAAAGGCUGUGGCUCAACCAUAGUUCGCUUUGGAAACUGUCAAACUUGAGUGCAGAAGGGGAGAGUGGAAUUCCAUGUGUAGCGGUGAAAUGCGUAGAUAUAUGGAGGAACACCGGUGGCGAAAGCGGCUCUCUGGUCUGUAACUGACGCUGAGGCUCGAAAGCGUGGGGAGCGAACAGGAUUAGAUACCCUGGUAGUCCACGCCGUAAACGAUGAGUGCUAGGUGUUGGAUCCUUUCCGGGAUUCAGUGCCGCAGCUAACGCAUUAAGCACUCCGCCUGGGGAGUACGACCGCAAGGUUGAAACUCAAAGGAAUUGACGGGGGCCCGCACAAGCGGUGGAGCAUGUGGUUUAAUUCGAAGCAACGCGAAGAACCUUACCAGGUCUUGACAUCCCGAUGCUAUUUCUAGAGAUAGAAAGUUACUUCGGUACAUCGGUGACAGGUGGUGCAUGGUUGUCGUCAGCUCGUGUCGUGAGAUGUUGGGUUAAGUCCCGCAACGAGCGCAACCCCUAUUGUUAGUUGCCAUCAUUCAGUUGGGCACUCUAGCGAGACUGCCGGUAAUAAACCGGAGGAAGGUGGGGAUGACGUCAAAUCAUCAUGCCCCUUAUGACCUGGGCUACACACGUGCUACAAUGGUUGGUACAACGAGUUGCGAGUCGGUGACGGCAAGCUAAUCUCUUAAAGCCAAUCUCAGUUCGGAUUGUAGGCUGCAACUCGCCUACAUGAAGUCGGAAUCGCUAGUAAUCGCGGAUCAGCACGCCGCGGUGAAUGCGUUCCCGGGCCUUGUACACACCGCCCGUCA
rnacentral:rRNA from 1 species